CUAAAAACCCCGACUUCGGAAGGGGUGUAUUUAUUAGAUACAAAACCAAUGCCCUUCGGGCUCUUUGGUGAUUCAUGAUAACUAUACGAAUCGCACGGCCUUGCGCCGGCGAUGGUUCAUUCAAAUUUCUUCCCUAUCAACUUUCGAUGUUUGGGUAUUGGCCAAACAUGGUUGCAACGGGUAACGGAGGGUUAGGGCUCGACCCCGGAGAAGGAGCCUGAGAAACGGCUACUACAUCCAAGGAAGGCAGCAGGCGCGCAAAUUACCCAAUCCCGACUCGGGGAGGUAGUGACAAUAAAUACUGAUACAGGGCCCUUUCGGGCCUUGUAAUCGGAAUGAGUACAAUUUAAAUCCCUUAACGAGGAACAAUUGGAGGGCAAGUCUGGUGCCAGCAGCCGCGGUAAUUCCAGCUCCAAUAGCGUAUAUUAAAGUUGUUGUGGUUAAAAAGCUCGUAGUUGAACCUUGGGCCUGGCUGGCCGGUCCGCCUCACCGCGUGCACUGGUCCGGCCGGGCCUUUCCCUCUGUGGAACCCCAUACCCUUCACUGGGCGUGGCGGGGAAACAGGACAUUUACUUU
rnacentral:rRNA from 1 species